rnacentral:snoRNA from 1 species
AUUCCAUUAUGUUGACAUUUUCUCACUAUCUCCUUGAAUCUUUCCUAAGCUUCGAAGACAUUUCAGUGUCCUUCUAGCAAAAGUUAUGGAUUUCCCUUCUGAAUUU